GACGAACGCUGGCGGCGUGCCUAACACAUGCAAGUCGAACGGAACUGUUUUGAAAGAUUUCUUCGGACUGGAUUUGAUCUGGUUUAGUGGCGGACGGGUGAGUAACGCGUGAGUAACCUGCCUUCAAGAGGGGAAUAACAUUCUGAAAAGAAUGCUAAUACCGCAUGACAUAUCGGUACCACAUGGUUUUGAUAUCAAAGAUUUUAUCGCUUGAAGAUGGACUCGCGUCCGAUUAGUUAGGUGGUGAGGUAACGGCAUACCAAGGCCGCGAUCGGUAGCCGGGCUGAUAGGCUGACCGGCUACGUUGGGACUGAGGCACGGACCAGACUCGUACGGAGGGGAGCAGUGGGGGAUAUUGCGCAAGGGGGGCAACCCUGACGCAGCAGCGCGGCGGGAAGGAUGAAGGUUUUCGGAUUGUAAACUUCUUUUAUAAAGGGCGAAAAAGGACGGAACGUAAUGAAUAAGCCCCGGCAAACUACGU
rnacentral:rRNA from 1 species